rnacentral:snRNA from 1 species
GAAUGUGAAGGUGACUUGUGACGCGUCACCCAUGGGUCACCAGUGGGGAUUUGGCUGAUGGAGCUGACAAAACCAGAGUUUCCUUCCUCCCUCAAGUCUCCAUCUCUGUCCCUCUAGAAGUUUGGUGGGUCAAAGAAAAUGACCUCUGCCAUUAGAGGUCAAGGGUGAGUGAGCAGGUGAGCUUCUCUUCCAGAAUCUCCAAACAAGCUCAGACAGGCCUUGGGAUCAGGGAAGUAUAGAUCAGGAAUGUCAGCUGCUUUAUGGAACACCCCGGCCUUUCUUCAUGGUUUGGGAAUGGUU